rnacentral:rRNA from 1 species
GACGAACGCUGGCGGCGUGCUUAACACAUGCAAGUCGAACGGAAAGGCCCUGCUUUUGUGGGGUGCUCGAGUGGCGAACGGGUGAGUAACACGUGAGUAACCUGCCCUUGACUUUGGGAUAACUUCAGGAAACUGGGUCUAAUACCGGAUAGGAGCUCCUGCUGCAUGGUGGUGGUUGGAAAGUUUCGGCGGUUGGUGAUGGACUCGCGGCUUAUCAGCUUGUUGGUGGGGUAGUGGCUUACCAAGGCUUUGACGGGUAGCCGGCCUGAGAGGGUGACCGGCCACAUUGGGACUGAGAUACGGCCCAGACUCCUACGGGAGGCAGCAGUGGGGAAUAUUGCACAAUGGGCGGAAGCCUGAUGCAGCAACGCCGCGUGCGGGAUGACGGCCUUCGGGUUGUAAACCGCUUUCGCCUGUGACGAAGCGUGAGUGACGGUAAUGGGUAAAGAAGCACCGGCUAACUACGUG